AACGAACGCUGGCGGCAUGCCUAACACAUGCAAGUCGAACGAAGCCUUCGGGCUUAGUGGCGCACGGGUGCGUAACGCGUGGGAAUCUGCCCUUGGGUUCGGAAUAACAGUUAGAAAUGACUGCUAAUACCGAAUGAUGUCUUCGGACCAAAGAUUUAUCGCCCAAGGAUGAGCCCGCGUCGGAUUAGCUAGUUGGUGAGGUAAAGGCUCACCAAGGUGACGAUCCGUAGCUGGUCUGAGAGGAUGAUCAGCCACACUGGGACUGAGACACGGCCCAGACUCCUACGGGAGGCAGCAGUGGGGAAUAUUGGACAAUGGGCGAAAGCCUGAUCCAGCAAUGCCGCGUGAGUGAUGAAGGCCUUAGGGUUGUAAAGCUCUUUUACCCGGGAUGAUAAUGACAGUACCGGGAGAAUAAGCCCCGGCUAACUCCGUGCCAGCAGCCGCG
rnacentral:rRNA from 1 species